rnacentral:rRNA from 1 species
GAUGAACGCUAGCGGCAGGCCUAAUACAUGCAAGUCGAGGGGCAUCAGGUGUAGCAAUACAUGCUGGCGACCGGCGCACGGGUGCGUAACACGUAUGAAACCUACCCAUAACUUGGGGAUAGCCCGAAGAAAUUCGGAUUAAUACCCAAUGGUACAAUUGAGAGGCAUCUCUUGAUUGUUAAAGAUUUAUCGGUUAUGGAAGGUCAUGCGUCUGAUUAGCUAGUUGGUGAGGUAAUGGCUCACCAAGGCGACGAUCAGUAGGGGACCUGAGAGGGUGAUCCCCCACACUGGUACUGAGAUACGGACCAGACUCCUACGGGAGGCAGCAGUAGGGAAUAUUGGGCAAUGGGCGAGAGCCUGACCCAGCCAUGCCGCGUGAAGGAAGAAGGCCUUCUGGGUUGUAAACUUCUUUUGAUCGGGAACAAAGAGCUCUUGCGAGAGCAGUUGAGUGUACCGAUAGAAUAAGCACCGGCUAACUCCGUGCCAGCAGCCGCAGUAAAAC